GAGUUUGAUCCUGGCUCAGGACGAACGCUGGCGGCGUGCCUAAUACAUGCAAGUCGAGCGAGCUUGCCUAGAUGAUUUUAGUGCUUGCACUAAAUGAAACUAGAUACAAGCGAGCGGCGGACGGGUGAGUAACACGUGGGUAACCUGCCCAAGAGACUGGGAUAACACCUGGAAACAGAUGCUAAUACCGGAUAACAACACUAGACGCAUGUCUAGAGUUUGAAAGAUGGUUCUGCUAUCACUCUUGGAUGGACCUGCGGUGCAUUAGCUAGUUGGUAAGGUAACGGCUUACCAAGGCAAUGAUGCAUAGCCGAGUUGAGAGACUGAUCGGCCACAUUGGGACUGAGACACGGCCCAAACUCCUACGGGAGGCAGCAGUAGGGAAUCUUCCACAAUGGACGAAAGUCUGAUGGAGCAACGCCGCGUGAGUGAAGAAGGGUUUCGGCUCGUAAAGCUCUGUUGGUAGUGAAGAAAGAUAGAGGUAGUAACUGGCCUUUAUUUGACGGUAAUUACUUAGAAAGUCACGGCUAACUACGUGCCAGCAGCCGCGGUAAUACGUAGGUGGCAAGCGUUGUCCGGAUUUAUUGGGCGUAAAGCGAGUGCAGGCGGUUCAAUAAGUCUGAUGUGAAAGCCUUCGGCUCAACCGGAGAAUUGCAUCAGAAACUGUUGAACUUGAGUGCAGAAGAGGAGAGUGGAACUCCAUGUGUAGCGGUGGAAUGCGUAGAUAUAUGGAAGAACACCAGUGGCGAAGGCGGCUCUCUGGUCUGUAACUGACGCUGAGGCUCGAAAGCAUGGGUAGCGAACAGGAUUAGAUACCCUGGUAGUCCAUGCCGUAAACGAUGAGUGCUAAGUGUUGGGAGGUUUCCGCCUCUCAGUGCUGCAGCUAACGCAUUAAGCACUCCGCCUGGGGAGUACGAUCGCAAGAAUGAAACUCAAAGGAAUUGACGG
rnacentral:rRNA from 1 species